rnacentral:rRNA from 1 species
CAGUCGCCGCGGUAAUACGAAGGGUGCAAGCGUUAAUCGGAAUUACUGGGCGUAAAGCGUGCGUAGGCGGUGAGUUAAGUCUGCUGUGAAAUCCCCGGGCUCAACCUGGGAAUGGCAGUGGAUACUGGCUCGCUAGAGUGUGUCAGAGGAUGGUGGAAUUCCCGGUGUAGCGGUGAAAUGCGUAGAGAUCGGGAGGAACAUCAGUGGCGAAGGCGGCCAUCUGGGACAACACUGACGCUGAGGCACAAAAGCGUGGGGAGCAAACAGGAUUAGAUACCCCUGUAGUCCCUGUCUCUUAUAC